GGGGGUGUACUGGCUUUCGACGGGGAACAGGAGAUAUUGGGUUGCAUGUCGAGGAUAUCGGUUGGCCUCGUAAAUCAUCCGAUAAAACUAUAAUUGCCGAAGAUUAUUCUUUUGCAAUGGCUGCCUAAUUAAAGGCGGCGACCUGGUCAGGGAUCGCGCUUAUUUUUGACCGGGCAAAUUAAGGCGCUGGUUUGGCAGAGGGUAUCGGCUGUCAGGCGAGAUUGCGGUACUGGCCUUUUGGUUAGCGUGUUCUUCCGCGCACCAGAGGGUGAGAUUUAAAAAGAAGGACUAAACAUGUAGUGGCCCUUAUUGAUGGUUUUUCGGACAGGGGUUCAACUCCCCUCACCUCCAUUU
rnacentral:tmRNA from 1 species